rnacentral:rRNA from 1 species
UACGAAGGGGGCUAGCGUUGUUCGGAAUUACUGGGCGUAAAGCGCACGUAGGCGGAUCGAUCAGUCAGGGGUGAAAUCCCAGGGCUCAACCCUGGAACUGCCUUUGAUACUGUCGAUCUGGAGUAUGGAAGAGGUGAGUGGAAUUCCCGAGUGUAGAGGUGAAAUUCGUAGAUAUUCGGAGGAACACCAGUGGCGAAGGCGGCUCACUGGUCCAUUACUGACGCUGAGGUGCGAAAGCGUGGGGGAGCAAACAGG